rnacentral:rRNA from 4 species
AGGUGAACCUGCGGAAGGAUCAUUGA